UACGUAGGGGGCAAGCGUUGUCCGGAAUCAUUGGGCGUAAAGAGCGUGUAGGCGGUUCGGUAAGUCGGCUGUGAAAGUCCAGGGCUCAACCCUGGGAUGCCGGUCGAUACUGCCGGACUAGAGUUCGGAAGAGGCGAGUGGAAUUCCCGAUGUAGCGGUGAAAUGCGCAGAUAUCGGGAGGAACACCUAUGGCGAAGGCAGCUCGCUGGGACGUUACUGACGCUGAGACGCGAAAGCGUGGGGAGCAAACAGG
rnacentral:rRNA from 1 species